rnacentral:tRNA from 1 species
AGCCUUGUGGCUCAGUGGUUAAAGUGCUUGGCUGCUAACCAAAAGAUCAGUGGUUUGAACCCACUGCUA